rnacentral:lncRNA from 1 species
AUGUAUGCCUUCCACUCUUGUUUCUUCUACUUCUUACCUAGACUCAGACUUUCUCCGAUAGGUUCUGAAGAGGAAGACAGCCAAGAUGAUAGCAAUCAGGAAGAGGACAGCCAUCCCAAUACCAAGACCCACCUCACUCUUCUGGAAACGCGUCUGGCAGUUAUUGUCUACAUACCAAAAGAAUCCAGUGUAAUUGACACUGCAGAAUCCAAAUGAUAACUAUUGAACAGCAAAAAGAUAAGGAAGGAAAACUUGGAGGAGACAAGAGGAAAAUAAGGUGAGUCAUUGACCAUCAACAGCAAAUUGCAAUGAUUGCUACCCCGCUACCCCGAAAAUAAGACAUCCCCUGAAAAUAAGACCUAGUAGAGGUUUUGCUGAAUUGUUAAAUAUAAGGCUUCCCCUGAAAGUAAGACCUAGCAAAGUUUUUGUUUGGAAGCAUGCCCGCCAAACACAACACCAGAGCAGGCAGGAUUGGUAAAUGUACAUACCAUAGAGUGUUGUACAUGGAAAUAAUGGUUGUAACAAGAAAUUCUUGAUAGGACUCACAGUUUGUCUGGUUAUGCUGGUUUGUGAUGAUAACUACUGUACAGUAUAUAACAAAUAUUCAUUUUUUGUUCAACAGUAAAUGUGAAUUCUUCAUGGAAAAAUAAGACAUCCCCUAAAAAUAAGACCUAGCGCAUCUUUGGGAGCAAAUAUUAAUAUAAGACACUGUCUUAUUUUCGGGGAAACACGGUAGGGAACCUGAGCUGAAGUCCUAUCUGAGAAGGCUGCUCAAGUAUUUCAAGUUAUGCUUAAAUCCCUGAUGGGCACGUGUCAGGAGUUCCCUAGUGAUAAAGAGCAUUAAUCUCUCUUACUGGUUUUCUCAUCAAUAUAUUUUACCCAUAUUUUCUUCUGCUUUUGCAGUAUUAAUGGAAGAGACAAAAACUCAGCUGGUAAGAAGUCCCAUGGAAGUACAGUAGAGUCUCACUUAUCCAACAUAAACAGGCUGGCAGAACGUUGGAUAAGUGAAAAUGUUGGAUAAUAAGGAGGGAUUAAGGAAAAGCCUAUUAAACAUCAAAGUACAUUAUGACUUUACAAAUUAAGGACUAAAAAUCAUGUUUUAUAACAAAUCGAAAGAAAAAGUAGUCCAAAACAUGGUAACAUUAUGUAGUAAUCACUGCAUUGAUGAAUUUAGCACCAAAACAUUGCAAUAUAUUGGAAGCAUUGACUAAAAAAAAUGGCUACUUACAGAUUGACUACAAAUAAAGAUAGAACUGCAUUAAAAUGAACUUUCAGUAGCAACAUUGUUGGAAAUUAAAUCCAUAAAAAGUUCAAUGCUUGCUGCCUAGAGAAACGGCUAUGUGUUGGAUAAUCCAGAAUGUUGGAUAAGCGAAUGUUGGAUAAGUGAGUUUUUAUUUCAAGUCAGUUUUUAAAAAUAUAAUUAUGCUACUUUUAAUCUAUAUUUAAUAUAUAUUAUGUGAACCACCAAAAUUAUGUUACUUUUAAUCUAUAUAAUAUGAACCACCAAAAAGUUAAUCAGACAUUAGCAUGUUAUGUGAAAGAAGGGAAUGUUCUGUCAAUAGAGAAGAGUUUAAAAGGACGUCUUGCAGUGUUUGUUCCAAUUAGAACAUGUUAUUAUUUUACAUUUUAGUUGACAGGUGGCAAAAAAUGGACCUGGGAAUCUUUUUACUACCUCCUCCUUUCUUACUUACUUGCAGUUGGGGCCUUUGUCAGAGAUGCGGCAAACCCCAUGGUAGCAAUUGAUAGCAUACGCACUGCCCUUGGUGCAGUUACUCACACAGCGCAAGCUGUCUGUUGUUGUAUCUGGAUAAUAGUAGUUUGCAUAUGUAGCCCCAACUAUUGUCUUGCAAAACUCUGAGGAAGAAAAAUAGAAUGAACAGUCAAAAAUGUGUACAGAAGAAAGAAGAGGGCAGUACCUGAACACUGAGGAUAGAAUGGGUCUGUUGAAACUUAACACAUCUAGCUUCAUCUGCUCUUGGGUGGAAGACUUUCUAAGCACCUCUGUAUGUGCAAUGCAAGCAAUGUAGAAAUUCAUAGCCACAAGCUGGUGCCACUGUACUGAAUGUGAUGAUUUUCUUGCCUUGUCUGGAGAUUGGCUUCACCCAUAUUUUGGACAUGCUAUCUUGCUUUUAAGUGGAUUAAACAAUGCUCUGAAAAUAGAACAAUGUUCUAAAGCAACCGGUUUGGUCACAGUUGCCUCUUUUGUUCUUAGUGGACUGGACAACACUAUGGGGGACCGUGGUGACGCAAUGGUUUAAACCCUUGUGCUGCUGAACUGCUGACCUGAAGGUUGGCAGUUCGAAUCCAUGGAACAGGGUGAGCUCCUGCUGUUAACCCUAUCUUCUGCCAACCUAGCAGUUUGAAAACAUGCAAACGUGAGUACAUAAAUAGGUACUGUUUCAGUGGGAAAAGGCAAAAAGACACUCCAAGCAGCCAUGCCAGCCACACAACCAGGAGGUAUCUGCGGACAAUGCAGGCUCCUCAGCUUGGAAAUGGAGAAGAGCACCUCCCCCAGAGACAGAGAUGAGCACCACCCCCAGAGCCGGAAAUGAAAGGAGAAGCCUUUGCCUUUGUCUGUGUAUUUGUGCCUCAUUGUAUUUCAUUGUAACAAGUCGUCGAAUGUUUGCCUGUGUCUGUUUAUAUGCUGUAAUCCGCUCUGAGUUCCCACAGGGAGAAGGGUGAAAUAUAAAAUAAUAAUAAUAAUAAUAAUAAUAAUAAUAAUAAUAAUAAUAAUUAUUAUUAUUAUUAUUAUUAUUAAAGGGAGAAAGGGGGACCCAUAAUUCUCCCUCCCAUUCCCACAUCUGGAACUCACCAGUUAUAUUAAAAUCCAUUUGGCCACCGAUGAUUGGAUUAGGUGAAGUAGUGAAGCACAAUUCUGGGAACAAACAGAGAUGGUUGAUCUUCAUAAAGAGUGCUUUUUUCUUUCGUUUGUCUCUGCUCCUUCAGAGAUUCUUUUGUGUGCUACAAACAUGCUGACAUAUUAAAUCGGUCCUACUGAUUCCUAAAAGGAGGACCAACCUUAGGAUGUAUUUCUGAACUGCCAUCAGUGUUGGAUAUAAAUGGAUAUUAAUACUUGUAAACCAAACAUAGACGACUAAGCCUUCAUAUCCAGGGAGGAAAGGUAUGCAGGAACCCUAUGUAAGGGUAGGGGGAAAAUGCUGUCCCAUGUGGGCUUUGACCCUCAGUUCACAGAAAGUGCAAAGAAUGCAAGCCCGGGACAUAUGCACAUCCACAUGGCAGUCCUAUCCUCAGGAAAUGGGUUGGGAUGGAGAGCCAGGCACCACUUCCUGUAGACAGGGCUGCUGUGUCUGACAGGUGAACACUGUGGCAUACGAAUAACCAAAGCUGCAAAUCUAAAACCUAUAAAUGUGAAGAGCUGGCUGUAUUAGCAAAGAGCCAUCAGCCUUAGGUGUCUUCUACCCAAAGUAAAAUUCCAUCACUUGUGGCAGUAACUAGAACUUCCCACAGAUUAGUGGUAUGCAAAUAUCUCAUUUGACUUGAACUCUGUUACCCAGUUGGCAUUUACCUGGUGAAUUCAUACAAUCCUUCUCAGUGGAGUUGCUGCCUUGGAGUUUCUGUAUCACUGAUUGUAUUUGGUUUUCCAGAGUUGAAUUAAUGACGCUCAAUUUAUUCUCUACUUGGACCUGAAAUAUAAUUUCAUGAUCCACAAUGAUGCUCCCAGACCUAACAAUAAAGAAUAAGAAGAUCAGACCUCAAUUGCUUACCCAUUACUUUAUCAUUUCAUAGUAGCGGUGUAUAGGGAAAACCCUGGACUGGAAGACCAGACACAAAGUUCCACCCAGCUGGAAUAAUGUCUUGUUUCUCAUCUCCCAUCCCUUAAAUCCCCACCCUUUUCAUACUGCCUUUCCUCCUAAUAUGGCCAUGCACUAACUAGGGGUGAAUGUGAGUGGAUGGGAAGUGCCCAGCAAUAUGUUUAAAGCUGGACAUACAAUGGCUUUAUCCUCUGAGACUUCUGGAGGACUCCCAAGGGGUCCCAAAGGAUGCUGUCAUCUAGUUUUAGACACACAGUCAAAUACUUCUUGGUCAACCAUUUCUUUCCACUAACCAGUAUAUUGCCAUGUUGGCAGGCAAAACAUAGACAAGGUAGAUUUGAGGUCCUGGGUUUGUGUGAAAGGGAAGAUGGAAAUAAAUCCAUCCCAAAGAAUGGAAAAAGACAGAUGCAAAUGUGACCUAACAGAAUGCCCAAUUGUUAAUAAACCAACUUUGUUCUGAGAGGACUUAAGAAUGCAUCAUUGAUUCCCCGCUGAAGUGAUCUAGUACGUUUUGUGGCUAAGCAGAGAUUUGAACCUGUGCCUUAAUUCUUAGUACAACUACUAGAGUGCAUAAGGAUCAGGAUUACAUCUAAAGAGGCAUUAUUGUUGGUGAGCCUUUCUAGUAUUUCAGUUACUGUUGUAGAUUAGCCAGAGGCUGAUGGUUUAACUGAGGAUUUAGAGAGGAUUGUGGGCUUUCCUGUGACACAAAGUGAUGAGCUCACAUGUCU